rnacentral:rRNA from 1 species
AGGACUAACGCUGGCGGCGUGCCUAACACAUGCAAGUCGAACGAGGUAGCAAUACCUAGUGGCAGACGGGUGAGUAACGCGUGGUCAACCUACCUCUUAGUGGGGGAUAACUAGCCGAAAGGUUAGCUAAUACCGCAUACGAUCGUCGCGAGGCAUCUCGUGACGAUGAAAGGAGCAAUUCGCUAAGAGAGGGGACUGCGUCCCAUUAGUUAGUUGGUGGGGUAAUGGCCCACCAAGACUCCGAUGGGUAGCUGGCUUGAGAGAGCGACCAGCCACACUGGAACUGAGACACGGUCCAGACUCCUACGGGAGGCAGCAGUGAGGAAUUUUCCGCAAUGGGCGCAAGCCUGACGGAGCGACGCCGCGUGUGGGAAGAAGGCCUUCGGGUCGUAAACCACUGUCGAGGGACGAUAUUGACGGUACCCUUGGAGGAAGCCCGGCUAACUACGCGCCAGCAGCCGC